GCAGAUGUACACAUCCUCUCAACUUGAUGUCAUCUGCAGACUUACUGAGAAUACAUUCAAUUCCCUCAUCCAGAUAAAAAUUAAACAGAGCCAGCCCCCAAACUGUUCUUCUACAAUACAAAAUGACUCCAUCCAAACAGCUUGUUGGAGACAGCUUUUCACGCACUGAGCCUGAGUGUUCUCCUUACACAAAAGACGUCUUGUAUUUUCUGGAAACUGGAGUCUAAUAUCUGAGCCUGAGUUUUCUGAAAGUGUUGGAACAGUGCUGAAGGCCAGAGUCUUGGGUUUCUGUUCUGUGCUGUUUGGAUGGGAAAAUUAACCAGGAUUUGAAUUGCCUGCUCAUGCUAUGCUCCUGGGAAAGACACUUAGGCAAAUGCUCACUGCUGACCUUUUUUUUUUUUUUACAGCAGCAGCAAGCUUAACUGCUUGCAAACAGCUCUUGUCCUGCCCCUCUGAGCUAGGAGCUCAAGAUCAGCAGCAGCAGGGCAUUAAACCACUUGCAAAUAGCAGUUCCUCCCUAAGAGCUCCAGCCUGGGACAAACACUGAGUAAAAUUGUAAUUAACGUAGUUCCACAUCACUUGAUUUCAUGCUCUGCAACAGUGUAUUGGAAAUGCUGAUUCCUCUCCCCAGUAAAGUGUUACUUUUUUGAAAAUAUUUCAUAUGUACUUGUGUGUGUGCAUAUAUGUAUUUUUAUAUAAUAUCACUUCUGCUUGUUAAGACUAUGAACCAAAGUAUGAAUAACUUUUGCCUUUGGCCAUAUGAAGGCUUUGGUACAAGCUUGAAAGAUUUUAUAUUUUCCUUUUGAGCUAUGCAGACAAAGUCUUUUGUAUAUCCUCUAACAUUUUCCUGGUCAAAAAUGAAUAUAGCAAUUCUAAUGUACAAGUAAAGCCAAAAGUGGGUUUCCUUUGAUUGCUCAUGCCUGAAAAAUCAAAAGGAAUCAUGACUGAUACUCCCAUUCUGUGCAAAUCUUUCCUUAUUUUUCUGUCUGUUUCUAAGAAGUAAGUGCAUUAUCAUGUAAAAACCACUUGAGACUCACAGCAGACCCUCCUGUGAUGUGGCUGAUUACUUUCCAGAGGGGUGCAGUAUUUUGUGUGUGUGUAUUCACCAGAAUCUGGUUACCACCCUCUUUCAUUACAAUGUUAGACCUGCUCUUCUCUGCCAUGAUCUUAUUCUCACUGAAUUUGUCUUUCACCUCAUUUGUGCUUUCAAGAACUAGGACUAAUGCUCUUCUUAAGCUUACAAAGCUCUGUCCACAUAGCAAAGUACUAGCUAACAGAGCAUGGAUUUGCAGUAUGAUACACAGUUUCUGCCUAUGCUUGUACCAAAGACAAUGACUCUCUGAAUGCACCACUGAAUUGUAUCCAUCCACAAAGGCAGAUCUUAGGACACAAAAUGAAUCAACUCCCAAUUAAAACUGCAGUAGGAAUUGGAUAGCAAAAUGUCAUGAUUGGCAGAAUAAGAGUCUGUCCAGGCUGAUACCCUACUUCCCAUCUAGUGACCUUGACUAAAUGGUGUUCAGUUGAGGGAUGACUAUGUAGCAAACUAAUGAGUCAACUUCUAGCAUCAUCUGGAUGCUGUUCUGGACUGACAAGCUGACAGAGUUGAGUCACCUCUUCCUUCAUACAUAGUAGCUACAUAUGUGCCACCUCCCAUAAAGUGGUGACUUUCAGGUCAUCCUUGUACUGAGCUGGUAUGAUCAGCUUUUUUCACACAGCUCUUAGGGACAUGGUUUAGUGGGCAUGGUAGUGAUGGGUUAAUGAUUUGACUAGAUGAUCUUAAUGGUCUUUUCCAAUCUAAAUGAUUCUAUGAUUUUGUAAUUUUGUGAUGCUGGAGAUAGAAUAAUAGAUUUGCAUCUGGCCCACAGGAGAGAGGUGUUUUAGAUCUCAAGUCGGUCUGCAUCCAUCUGUGCCCUUGGAGACUGAGCACUACCUGUGGAAAGUCAAUGCUGUAAAAAGAAAGGGGAAUGCUUCUUAUAAUGGAAGCUCCCCUCCCCCUGGAAAAGUAACUAUUUCCAGUAAGUGAGAAGGAAGACUAGCCUCUGCCACCAGAGAGUAUUUAGAAGUAAUUGAAUCACUGGAUUAGCUAAUGCAGCAUCCAUUAGGAGUCCAUGCCAUUCCCAGAGGACUCUGCAGCCAUAAAGGAAAGCAAGGCAGCCCUGAGUAUUUCAUGAAUGCACAUAAACCUCCUGCUUCCAGGCUAUAAAUUGCUUCCCGGGUGACAUCACAAAGGUGCUGUUGGCGCUCCUCCAUUUCCCUUAGCAUGAGGUCUGAGGUUCUCCAGAUGGGCCUGAAAGGGGACCAGACUGGAAUCAGACAAGCUCUGUAAAGGGUGUGAGUGGGGGUAUGCUUUUCUAUCUCCUGCCAAAUGCAUCAUGAAGGUCUUGUGAAAGGAAUAGUAAAAACAUGAAGGAGCAACAAUGUCAGGACAGAGGGGGGUCUCAGCUGUGCUCUGGAGGGCUCACCAUCUCUUCAUCAGAGAGAGAUGUCUGAGAGUGGAUGUGGGAGACGUCUGCAAAAGCUGAAGUGCUACUGAGGAGUGAAGAGGCAAAGCUUGCUCGCAAACUCUUCUGCUACAAGAGCAAGGAGACAUCAGGUUCCCUCUGUUUUUUCCUGGCUGUCUGGGCAUCAGAGAAAGUAGAAGAGCACAACAACCAUCCAAGGAGAUGAAAAUGGAGUUGCAGAAUAUGCUUCCAGUAAUGCCUGCAUCCAACUAUUUCAGACUGUGGUGGAAAAGACCCCAGCUGUCACCUCAGUAGAGAGCUAAACCACUCCAUGAAAUAAAUAAUAACAAUAGCAGUGUUACUCCUGUGUGACACAUGCCCUUUGGUAUCUGAUUAAUGCUUACCCAGGACACACAGCCCAGGGAAGCUGCAUGUGAGGUUAUACACCCCUUCUUGUGCUUGUGGAGCUGACAAUCCACUCUGGCACCACUCUCAUGGUUACCAUGAUACUGUUAUUGUUAUCUGCCUCUUCCCUCUCUGUCCCCAUUGACUUUAGGUAGAUUAGAGCAGAGAGAUGAUGGAUGGCUGGAUUAGAUGCUGCACACCUUCUUCAGUUUUAUAAAGCAGUAUUUUUCCAUCCUGUUUGGAUGCAUCUCUCCUGUUGUGAGCACAAAACAGAAUAACAGGGAGUUAUUGUUGCAGGGCAGUGACUCUGGUUUACGUGUACGUGCAGCAUGAGUCUUUUCAUGGUAUUUAUAAGAAAAAAAGUAAGCUGACAAAUACAAUCAAUUACAGCAAACCAGCUGCAAGGUGAAAUGGAAUAACCAUGUGCUUCACCAUUCAAGGCUCAGUGA